rnacentral:rRNA from 1 species
GACGAACGCUGGCGGCGUGCUUAACACAUGCAAGUCGAACGAUGAACCCGGAGCUUGCUCCGGCGGAUUAGUGGCGAACGGGUGAGUAACACGUGAGUAACCUGCCCCUGACUCUGGGAUAACUGCUAGAAAUGGUAGCUAAUACCGGAUACGACCCUCGGUGGCAUCACCAGGGGGUGGAAAGAAUCUCGGUCAAGGAUGGACUCGCGGCCUAUCAGCUAGUUGGUGAGGUAACGGCUCACCAAGGCGACGACGGGUAGCCGGCCUGAGAGGGUGACCGGCCACACUGGGACUGAGAUACGGCCCAGACUCCUACGGGAGGCAGCAGUGGGGAAUAUUGCACAAUGGGCGCAAGCCUGAUGCAGCGACGCCGCGUGAGGGAUGACGGCCUUCGGGUUGUAAACCUCUUUCAGCACCGACGAAGCGCAAGUGACGGUAGGUGCAGAAGAAGGACCGGCCAACUACGUGCCAGCCGCCGCGGUAA